GCGGGAGUGGCGGAAUUGGCAGACGCGCAAGAUUUAGGUUCUUGUGCCGCAAGGCGUGCGGGUUCGAGUCCCGCCUCCCGCA
rnacentral:tRNA from 1 species